AUGUUUUUGAUAAUGUUGUCACAUCACAGACAGGAGUAUUUAAUUAUGAAACACGGUGGAGAAAGGAAAUUAAAAUGUCAAUUUUGUCCUUCACAGGAUCAUUAGACAUUUCGUCCUUCACAGACAUUAGGAUCAUCAUAGUUCUGGGCUACUUGGUGAUUAAACUGGCCGUUGCUCUUGGACUAAUUUGCUGCUCGUGGAGGAUGAACAGGAGCUGCAGAAAUCCAUGGGAAGUUACAGGAAAUGUCACAAACAAUUCAAACGAAGCUGUCGCAAUGCAGACCCUGAAUUCUGACCCAGAUCUGAGGGAUCAGAAUGAAUGACCCAGCACAGAAGAGGCCGUUCAGCCCAUCA